rnacentral:rRNA from 1 species
UACGUAGGGUGCGAGCGUUAAUCGGAAUUACUGGGCGUAAAGCGUGCGCAGGCGGUUCGCCAAGUCAGGUGUGAAAUCCCCGGGCUUAACCUGGGAAUUGCGCUUGAAACUAGCGAGCUUGAGUGUGGCAGAGGGGGGGUGGAAUUCCACGUGUAGCAGUGAAAUGCGUAGAGAUGUGGAGGAACACCGAUGGCGAAGGCAGCCCCCUGGGUCAACACUGACGCUCAUGCACGAAAGCGUGGGGAGCAAACAGG